CCUACGGGAGGCUGCAGUAGGGAAUCUUCCACAAUGGGCGAAAGCCUGAUGGAGCAACGCCGCGUGGGUGAAGAAGGUCUUCGGAUCGUAAAACCCUGUUGUUAGAGAAGAAAGUGCGUGAGAGUAACUGUUCACGUUUCGACGGUAUCUAACCAGAAAGCCACGGCUAACUACGUGCCAGCAGCCGCGGUAAUACGUAGGUGGCAAGCGUUAUCCGGAUUUAUUGGGCGUAAAGGGAACGCAGGCGGUCUUUUAAGUCUGAUGUGAAAGCCUUCGGCUUAACCGGAGUAGUGCAUUGGAAACUGGGAGACUAGAGUGAAGAAGAGGAGAGUGGAACUCCAUGUGUAGCGGUGAAAUGCGUAGAUAUAUGGAAGAACACCAGUGGCGAAAGCGGCUCUCUGGUCUGUAACUGACGCUGAGGUUCGAAAGCGUGGGUAGCAAACAGGAUUAGAUACCCCAGUAGUC
rnacentral:rRNA from 1 species